UCCCUGGUGGCUUACUGGUAAAGAAUCUGCCUGCAAUGUAGGGAACAUGGGUUCAAUUCCUGAAUGGGGAA
rfam:Ovis aries breed Texel chromosome 6, whole genome shotgun sequence.